AUGGACACCCUUCUAAAGUAUCACGAGUUUGCUACUUUAAAGAAUAUUUGUGGUAUGGACCAUAGUUUCACUAUGGAAUAUGGAGGCGAAGAAAGAGAGAGGGAUAGAGGUAUUGUCAUGCUGUGGAUGGAGUCUCUUAAGGUUUAUGUUACAAAUUAUUCUUUGAGCCAUAUUAAGUUUGAAGUGAUUGAUGAUGAGGAGGAGAAACCUUGA